UUGAUUCGUUUAUUCUGAUUCAGACACAAGGCCAAUUACAGCAUAAAAGCGGCGCCCGGGGGGCACCGAAGCACAUGUUGCUUCCACAGGUUUGAAAGGUAGAAGGCCAGAAGACCAUUCAGUAAUGAUCCCUCCGCAGGUUCACCUACGGAAA
rnacentral:misc_RNA from 1 species